GGGGGAUCUACGUGGGUAAAGAGAAUUCAUGAUUUUUUUUUUUUUUUUUUUUUUGGUUUUUUUGGUUAAUUUUGAUUACCCACUUGAUUUUUGUUUGGAUUUUAAUUUACCCAUUAUGGUUGGAUGCUAUAUUUGGAGGUUUGAAGGUUUUGAGAUACUGUCCAGCGAGUCGAAGGUUGUUUUGGUGUGUCAUAAGUUAUUUUUCAGCAGAUUCGAAGUUGUUUCGAAGGAUUUUAGUGAGUAGAAGGUUUUGAAACCCUUUUUGGUUGAUUGUUAUUGCUAGAAAUUGGUUAUGUGAGCUUUAAUUGUGACUUAUGCAUAGGUUGGAGUCCAUUGGUGAAGUAAUAUAGCGAAUUUGGAUUUUAGCAUAAUUUUUGGGUAAGUCGUGUUGGUAAGUUUAGAAUGAUUGAUCUGUUGGACUUGGGCUUAAAAGUUAAAAGUGAUUUUUGAUUUGUGUUCUAUGAUUUUUGAAGUGUUGGAAAGAGUUGAGUAGCUGUCCAAUAGGUUUGAGAUCGAUCUUUCUAAGGUUUUGGUAAGUUUGGAGGUUAGUAUUAAUAGUUCUUUGUUAUCCAUUGAAGUAUUAGUCAAAUAAUUGAGUUAUUUUCAAUUUUUGAUGUUCAAUUCAAAGAUUUCAAGGGAUUGAAAGCAAAGUUAACGAUGUUUUGACGUUUUGAUAGGUAUUGAAGCCUUGAAACUCUUUUGGAAUUGUUACAUAGUUGCUGAAAUUUGCGUUUUGUAACCAUUAUUAUUGAACUUUUCGUAGGUUGGAUUACUUUGUUGUAGUUUUGAAGUGACAUCGAAUGAUGAUUAUUUAAUGCAUCUGUAUGAUAUGUGUAUUAAUUAUUGGCUUUGUUUUGUAGUGUCCUUUACAAGUGGGAACUGUCAAAUGUGGGUAUUACGUUAUGAGAUAUAUGCGAGAAAUCGUGACUAAAGAGAAGAAUAUUAUAACAGAUGUGAUUGAUACGAGGAGCUCGUGCUCGCAACUUGAAUUCGAUGAAGUACGCAUGGAAUGGACUGAAUAUUUAGGUCGUUAUAUCUGGUGAACUUCCUAUAAAUUUUUUAUGUGGCUACAUGGGAAUGCCAAAAACUUUUUUUGUGUAAAUGUUUUGUUCAGCCAUUAUAGGUUAUAUACUUCAAAGAAAUGUGUGGUGGAGGAUAGAAUUUUAGUCUUGUGAUUUUUGGAAUACAUAGCACAUAUAGAUUGGUCUUACAAUUUUGGAAUUAUCAUAUAUUGGGGUGGGUUGAUAGAGUAUAUACUGUUGUACGAUCCGUCUUGUAAAUUUUGGAAUCGUUCAUAUAGACAUGAGUAAUAGAAGAAUGGAAUUGUUUAUUUCA